GAUGCAUUUUGACGAAGAUGUAAGGAGCCAGCAAUGACUCUAGACAAACAUAACCAAAACAGAAAGUUGGACUUCACACUACCAUGUCCAGACCAAAACACCUGAUCACUGGGGAAGAGAGAUGGAAAAAGGCUUUGUGGAGAUCUAUAUAAAUGAGACACAGCAAUCAGUGUCAAAAAGGACCUGGACCGUGAUCCCCUGCAGCUAUGUGUUCUAGUAGUUCUGGCAGCAUGCUCCCCUGUCUGAGAACUAAUGUUUCAAUAUACCAGCUCAUCACCUGCUGACUGUAUAAAAACACAGGUGUUUUCUGCGCUUUAAUCAUAUGGGCCCUCGUGGCCACACCCCCUCCAUGUACAUGAUUCAGAACACUCAAUUCCCACAAUUAUUGAUUACAGAAAUUUACUAGGGGUUACAGUGGCAAAAAAGAGAUACUGGUUGGUGAAGAAAAGCUGAAAUGCUGAGCAUUCCAUAGGCUGGGCAGCGAUAUAAGUUGCCCUAGGUCCUCACAAGGACUGUUAAACCCGUGAACCAAGUAUUUGUAUUAACACCAAUUUCUUGGAACCUUAAUCCCUCAAAUUAAAGUUUAGAAUAUGGGCCUCUAGGAGUGACUAGGCUCUUAUAAAAUAGGCCUAGAAUAUUGUUUACCUGUGUGAUAACUAACAUGGUAAGAAGACAGGAAGUGGCCCUAGCUACUUGCUUAAACAGCUUCUCAUGGGAUUGCCUUUCAUUCUCAAGCUACUCAGUGGGUUGGCUUGACACACAACUACAAUAUUGAUCUGUGAAAACCUGCAGGGCUGGUCCAGGAGGAGCCCACUAAGGGACAUGAACAUGAAGCAUUCAAAAGAGUGUGAGCAACAGAAAGAAGCAUCCUGGAUGUGGGAGCUCACAAAAAUUCCAUUUUGUGGUUUGUUUCUAUUUUGACUCAAGUUCAGAGAGUUGGAAUUUAUAUUGCUCUCCAAGGUUGCAUAAUAGAAUGUUUAGGUCAAAGACAUGGUUACCAGGUAUCUUAUGCUUCAAGGCCUAAUUACAAGAUGCUGUGCUGUAAGGCAUGGUUACCAGGUGUUUAGAGAAUUAAGAAAGGGUCUACCCUAGUUUGUACUUUGACCUUGAAAGGGGGAGGUCUCUUGCAUCUCCCCUUGCUUGUGUAUAAAAAUCUCAUUAGGAUUAAGCUUGAGGUGACUGAGUAUUGACCCAAGGUCCUCCCAAAGCUAUCCUGUGUCCCUAUCUUUUUCUUUGUCUACCUCGAUAUUUUUUUCCUAUCUAGCAUUUCUCAAUUCCUCAUUUCCCCCUUCAAGAACUGUUUGAUGGGUCAAGGCUGGACCCAACAUCUGGAGAAAGGAAUAAGGAGUCCUGGAGUAGAAUGUGAACCCCAGGGCAUCACUGCUCUGUUCUCCCUGUCUCAUGGAAGCUGGAUCAUCAAUACAGACCAAGAAUUCACAAGAACUCAAUGAGAUGAAUGGAGAUGAGGAUGAAGAAACGUGGAAGAAAUAAGUGAGAGGACAUAACAUCACAAAGUCAAGACUUCUUAAGAGGAAAGUGCAAACCCAAGCAUCACUCACAACACUGAAUGAACAAAAUGAGAUGCUGAUGUGCUAUGAUGAGAACAGACUAAGAGCAAAGAUGCAUUCUGAACCAUGGGCUCUGUCUGUGUUGAGACAGCAAAAUGUCUUUGAAAAGCAAACAUGUUGCUUUCCUCAAUUCCUCUUUAUUUCCUAAAAUGUGAACAAAAAGACAAAGAGGAGGGCUCUAUUUGGGGGGUUAGAUGGGGAGGACUUUACUUAGAAAAUUUGAGUAUAUUAAUUUUUUGUGUUCACAGAAGGCAUUUGGAAGAAAAUAAAGAAAACUACUAAGUAAAACUUUGAGCCUUCUUACAAUGUUUUAUGCCAAGUGCACUGUACGGAGACAAGUCCUGAGAUUGAGCAUUUUAUUUAAGAAGAGCAGGUGGUCCAUCAUGGAAGAAAUGGCAGACUCUAGGAAGAAAGCCGAUCUUUUAGUACAACAAUUGAUUGUGUUAAUAUGCUUCUGUCUUUCUGUGUGUGUGCAUGUGUGUGCGUGUGUGUGUGUGUGUGUGUGUGUGUGUGUGUGUACAUGUGUGUGUGUUUCCUCUGGUUUCUAAUGUUCAACAGAGAGCUCAGAGAUUUUGAAGCUGUUCUGGAAUUUGCCUCAUUAGAAUCAGGAGACAAAAGGCUUGAGUGGCCCCUCAACUUUGCAAGGCCUUUACGUCCUUCAUUCCUUUCAUAUUAGCACUAGAACAUUCUCAUGGAUCCACUCUGACAUCCUGAAAUCUCAGAGCACUAAUAAAACUCAGUGGCUCUGUGCAUGCCUCAGUAGCACAGGUAAUGAAGGAGCUGCCAAUCACUUAUCAUUAACAUUUUUAAUGAGAUCCCUGAGUUACAGCUGAAAAUCAGAAAUGUUUACAUGUGCUGAAUUACUUUAAAUAUGAGAAGCUCAUGAAUUUUUCCUAAAACUGUCCCAUGGACUCAGAGCUUGAGCACUAAGCACGAUGAUAACAAAAUGCUUUGUGUGCAGGCACCUAGGGAGGUUAAAAAUUGGAUGAGGCAAUGACCGUCGUGAUGAGGUGAUAAAUAAGAUCUUGGAAAGAGAAAAACUCAACAAAGAAAACUUGCAUCAGCAAUAGUUAGAUGUUAAAAACACAUAGGACUUUCAAAGACCCCUUAAAUCUUCAGAUCCACACUGUCCUAAUGUAUAUAUUUAAAUAAAUUUGCAUAGUCAUAAGCCUUAAAGAGAUUCUUCAUAACAAUAUGCUUUAUUUAUUCCCCAACUUCUGGCUGAACAUGCCUCUGUUGGAAGCCCAGGCUCUGAGGGAAAUGGAAUACUGCUUAUUCAGAGGCUGUUUGAAUCACCUACUGUAGAGUGUUAUUAUGCAAGAUAGAUUGUGCCAGACACAGUAUUGCACCAUGAAGUUAAUCCACAGAAGUGGUUUUCAAAAGAGAGGAAAAUAAUUCUUAGUUACUCAGAGUGCCUGCUCUGCUGCUUUGAGCCACUUUCCCUCUCUUACAAGCAACGCAUUCUUUGGAGUACUUGCAAGGGCAGUGAACUCAUGACAGAGGUACAACAAGCAAGCCACAGGUAGGCUUUCAAAGCCCAGGAACCAUCAGAGAGGCAGAAGCAUCCAAAACAAACUGAUAUAGUUUGAAGAAUAACUGUUUAUUUGUCAAUCUAAACAAAAAGAAAAAGAAAUGGAAAUGUCAGAGCAUUGAAAUAAAUUUAAAUCCAACCCUGAAAAGUUUCACUUAUAAUAGAAUAUGGACUCAGGAUAUCAAAUCAGUGGUUACAUGCCGUACAGACAUUACAAGUGACUUAAUACCCCACUCUCCUCUCUCUCUCUCUCUCUCUCUCUCUCUCUCUCUCUCUCUCUCUCUCACACACACACACACACACACACACACAGACACACACACAAACACACA